UUUCGGGCUGUGGAAAUGUCGCCACAAUAACAGACCAGUGAGUAAAACUCUCAGAUGUAAAAACUCGAUGGCUUCCUUUUUUCGAGAGGUGGUUCGGCACCACAGCAUUUUUGUUUACUGGCAGAAUGUUAAAGAACGCGACACACGUUUCCUGGAAAUCCUUUAUAAUUAAACCAUCUGAUGACGACUUCGACACCCUUGAAGUGUUUCCACUUUUUUGGCCCAUAUGCAUCAGAGGUUCAGCCAACGGUUAGUGGACGUGAUGUCUGAGGCUGAGACUACAUAAGCUCUAUCUCCUUCCUGGAGUCGAGAGGCAGAAAGACACAGAGGACAAGUGUUGUGCUGCCUCACUGUGAGGAGAAAUGAAGGUCAGUCACUGCUGGUUUAUCAUGCUUUUACAACAGGAUCCAAAAUUCUGUGGGUUUUAUGAAGGUAGGUUUAAUUUGAGCUCUGUGGGGACUAAACUUCAGGAAACCAUGACAGAGUUAUAUAGCUAUAGCUGUCAGUGGGCAAAACAAAGCUGUAUGAACAUGUUUUUUGAGGAUGAAUAUGUAAUAUCAAAUACCUGGAUUUGUGGGGGAAAAAAAAAUCCAGGGCACAAUCACACAAGAGUCUUUAAACACUUGAAUUUUGUUUUGCUAGGCUGCACUGCCAGGUUUAACAGAGCUAAAUCUGCUGUGCAGCACAUUGUGGCCUGAAACUCUUGUUCAGGCUGCUUGAUGACGGUUUCAUGCAUCAGCAAUUCUCAAUCAGACUGCUAGGAUGCUAUGGCACCAUUCUGAGACUACUAAAGCACUAGUGACUGUUUAAAACAACACACUCACUCUACACUUAAAGCCCACCAAUUGGAGUUAUACUACUGUAGAUGACCAGUAACAAUAUAUAUAGAGCCAAAUUCAGCCACUAAAUCCAAUCCUGCAGUUUGGCAUACUACUAGUGCCCAUGUCUAAUAAUUUGCAAAGCCAUCUGCCAUGGCUGUAAGAAACUCAAACAAUGAAUAGAUUUCCAGUUUUUAUUCUCCAUAACAUCUGUCCUGAACACGAGAACAAAAAAAACGAACAUAAAUUCGUCAGUUCUGCUUUGAAUAACACAAUAUAAAUGGCAGCCAGGAGGGUAGCAGCUUUCAGUGUUUUACAAACACACCGAGAGGCCAGACAAAAUAUAACAGUGAAAUAUGGCACUGCAGACUGGCUUGGUCAUCUAUCUUGACCCUUUGUCCUGUGCUACAUUAGCAAUCUGUGCCAUUUAUAAUAACAGACAUAAAUACAGCACGCUCACACACACACACAUAUCUUUUAUUGAGCUCACAGAACUUGGCCUGAGGAGAAAAGCAGUGUCAGUGGGAGUGUAUUUGCUUAAUGGACAGCAUCCUCUUUACCUCCAAACACCAGCAUGAUGCCUUAAGUUGGCCACAAAACAAGAAAACAGAUCACAGACAGCAACAAGCCACAGAGACAGACAAAAAGGAUUUCAAUUUUGUGUUUGUGUCGUGUCGUGUGUGUGCAUCACUUUGAAAUUAAAUGAACCAGUCUAUGGCAGAACAAAAUAUAGGCCCUGUAAACAAAACUUACAGGUCAAAACUGUUCACUAUUUAUAAAAAAAAAUUGCAUUGACAUAUUUUGAUUAGCUAAAUAUUUUACACCCAAAUUUAUAUAAUGUGCCCUAAACAUAUUUAAGUAAAAUCCACCACAAGUGUGUAUGCUAACUAUAUGUUGUUUUUGAUUAUAAGACAGCUACAUGUACCAAAACGCUUCUAAUUGAAAACUCUAAUGAGUACCAUGGGAGCUCUAAUUACAUGGAAUUUAAAAUAUACAUUCACCAUUGUCUUAACAUUGAAACUCAAGCAAACACAGUUGGAGCAAAUCAUGGUUGUAUAACACAAAGAUGGUCUCACAACAACAAUAGUCAAUAGUCCCAUGAGUAAAACUACAACCUGAAAAUACUAGCUAAGAUAACUAACUCUGUUUCAGUUUAAUAUGAAAGGCUCCAUGCCUGCUGAUACAUGUGAGGGCUGUACCCUUCACCACAGCAAAAAGUCACCAAACUCGUAACGUGGCUUAACAAAGCAUUCAAUCAGAAACAACUUUAAUCUCUAUGGUGUUACAUCUCUAUAGCUUUAUUCCUAAAAGGUUCCAUUCGUAUUACUUUAAGCCUGACUACAAUUGUACUACUCUUGCAAUGAUGUGGUUGAACUACAUAUCACUAUAAAAAAAAUUGUAUUAAGUGAAGUGACAUUAAGAAUGAGAACGUCACUAGCAACAAGUUUAUGAAUAAUAUUUAUUAUUUUGUGGUACAAUAAUGUGGUAUAGUAAUAAGAUUGGUUUUGCAUAUAAUUUUUCAGACACUUAAAAACAAUCUGCAUCAUAUCUGUAAUAAAAGAAGAAUAUUGGUCCAUCUCUAAUGAAUGUAGGAACAAAUGUCACUUCAUUCGGUGAAACAUCCAUUUAGGGCCAUUAUGGUAAUAUAUUGAAAUCAAACAACUAAUUAUAAUAACCAGAACUCAAAGGGCAUCCAACAACGACAACUCAAUGUUAAAGACAUGCAGUGGCCAUUAACAAUAACCAAUAACAUAAUCACAAACGGGCAUGACUGCUAGCACAAACCUAAUCAUAUUUAUUGAUAAUACCUCGAUAAUACCUUGAUAAUGACACAGUUUAUUCAUCCCAAUCCUUUGCGGAUAUCAGCGCUAACAGCAAUUAAUGUGUCUAUGCAAAAAUGCCCCAGUCUUGUACACUAGUUGUGAAUGGCAUCUACCUGCAUGAAUUCUCAAAGUACAGACUUCUCUCAUCUCUUACACGCCACUCCCAUAUCUCCUGCUUCAGACAACAUGCAGUUUUUGAAGUUACGAAUGAAUGGAGCUGUCAUGUGUUCGACAGCAGCACUGGCACUGCACCAUGACAUCCUAAAAUGCAGUGACAACUAUGACGCUCAUCUGACACUGGACACAACAUGCAAAAGACGCAGCUCGAGUUACAGACGGGCAUUUACCCGUGUGUCAUAAUAAAAGUGAUCAAACCGU